GCUCAAAUUUGAAAUCUGGCCCUAGGCCCGAGUUGUAAUUUGCAGAGGAUGCUUUUGGUGCGGUGCCUUCCAAGUUCCCUAGAACGGGACGCCAGAGAGGGUGAGAGCCCCGUACAGUUGGACACCAAGCCUUUGUAAAGCUCCUUCGACGAGUCGAGUAGUUUGGGAAUGCUGCUCAAAAUGGGAGGUAUAUUUCUUCUAAAGCUAAAUACCGGCCAGAGACCGAUAGCGCACAAGUAGAGUGAUCGAAAGAUGAAAAGCACUUUGAAAAGAGGGUUAAACAGCACGUGAAAUUGUUAAAAGGGAAGCGCUUGUGACCAGACUUGCGUCCGGUGAAUCACCCAGCUCUCGCGGCUGGGGCACUUCGCCGGCUCAGGCCAGCAUCAGCUCGCUGUCGGGGACAAAAGCUUCAGGAACGUAGCUCUCUUCGGGGAGUGUUAUAGCCUGUUGCACAAUACCCUUCGGCGGGCUGAGGUACGCGCUCCGCAAGGAUGCUGGCAUAAUGGUCAUCAGCGACCCGUCUUGAAACACGGACCAAGGAGUCAACCUUAUGUGCGAGUGUUCGGGUGUCAAACCCCUACGCGUAAUGAAAGUGAACGCAGGUGAGAGCUUCGGCGCAUCAUCGACCGAUCCUGAUGUUCUCGGAUGGAUUUGAGUAAGAGCAUAUAGGGUUGGACCCGAAAGAAGGUGAACUAUGCGUGUAUAGGGUGAAGCCAGAGGAAACUCUGGUGGAGGCUCGCAGCGGUUCUGACGUGCAAAUCGAUCGUCAAAUAUGCGCAUGGGGGCGAAAGACUAAUCGAACCUUCUAGUAGCUGGUUUCCGCCGAAGUUUCCCUCAGGAUAGCAGUGUUGAACUCAGUUUUAUGAGGUAAAGCGAAUGAUUAGGGACUCGGGGGCGCUAUAUUGCCUUCAUCCAUUCUCAAACUUUAAAUAUGUAAGAAGC
rnacentral:rRNA from 1 species